rnacentral:rRNA from 1 species
AAUCAACGCUGGCGGCGUGCCUCAGACAUGCAAGUCGAACGAUUAAGACUCUCUUCGGAGAGUGUAUAAAGUGGCGCACGGGUGAGUAACACGUAGGUAAUGUACCGAAGGGUGGGGAAUAACUUAGGGAAACUUAAGCUAAUACCGCAUAAUGCAGCGGCUCGACAUCGAGACAGUUGUUAAAGGAGCAAUCCGCCUUUUGAGCAGCCUGCGGCAGAUUAGCUAGUUGGUAAGGUAAUGGCUUACCAAGGCUACGAUCUGUAACCGACCUGAGAGGGUGGUCGGUCACACUGACACUGAAUAACGGGUCAGACUCCUACGGGAGGCAGCAGUCGGGAAUUUUGGGCAAUGGGCGAAAGCCUGACCCAGCAACGCCGCUAGCAUUCAUCCUGAGCCAGGAUCAAACUCU